rnacentral:rRNA from 1 species
UACGGGGGGUGCAAGGCGUUAUCCGGAUUUACUUGGGUUUAAAGGGGUUGCGUAGGUGGGUCUGUAAGUCAGUGGUGAAAUCUCCGGGCUUAACCCGGAAACUGCCAUUGAUACUAUAGAUCUUGAAUAUCCUGGAGGUGAGCGGAAUAUGUCAUGUAGCGGUGAAAUGCUUAGAUAUGACAUAGAACACCAAUUGCGAAGGCAGCUCACUACGGGAUCAUUGACACUGAGGCACGAAAGCGUGGGGAUCAAACAGG